ACACAAUGAUACAUCCUGGAAAUACUAAAUGUAAAGGUCUGUAGACCUUUUCAACAGUCAGCUGUAAUCGUUCAUCCUGCAAAGAUGUUUGGAUCAAGAUUAACCCUUCUCCAGGUCCUCCUUGUAGCUGGACUUUACCUGGAUCCAGCCCAGAGUAUUCGUUGCUAUUCUUGCAGUCAAGGUGGGAACUGCCUGCAGGAAGAUUCUGAGUACGGGUAUGGGGGUUUGAUACAAUGUCCGGCCAACACCAGGUAAUGUAUCAUUUAAUCAAUCAAU